ACAAGCUACUAAGUGCGAUCGGUGGAUGCCUAGGCACCAAGAGCCGAUGAAGGACGUUGUAACCUGCGAUAAGCCCUGGGGAGCUGGUAAACGAGCUUUGAUCCGGGGAUGUCCGAAUGGGGAAACCUCGAAGGUGACCAGUUUAGCUACUGGCGACCGCCGCCUGAAUGUAUAGGGCGGUUGGAGGGAACGUGGGGAAGUGAAACAUCUUAGUACCCACAGGAAGAGAAAACAACCGUGAUUCCGUGAGUAGUGGCGAGCGAAAGCGGAAGAGGCCAAACCGUAUGUGUGUGAUAGCCGGCAGGUGUUGCAUGUGCGGGGUUGUGGGAAGCGUUUUGACUGAACUGCCGUGAGGUCGGAGAGUGAUAAAGGAUUGAUGAAGCAGAAGCGUCUGGGAAGGCGCGGCAUAGAUGGUGAUACCCCUGUAUGCGUAAGUUGAUCUCUCUCUUAAUGUUUUCCCAAGUAGUACGGAACCCCUGAAAUUCCGUACGAAUCUGGCGGGACCACCCGUUAAGCCUAAAUACUCCUUGGUGACCGAUAGCGGACAAGUACCGUGAGGGAAAGGUGAAAAGUACCCCGGGAGGGGAGUGAAAUAGUACCUGAAACCGAUCGCAUACAAUCCGUCGGAGCCUGCCCUUGUGGUGGGUGACGGCGUGCCUUUUGAAGAAUGAGCCUGCGAGUUAGUGGUGUGUGGCGAGGUUAACCCGUGUGGGGAAGCCGUAGCGAAAGCGAGUCCGAAUAGGGCGUUUGAGUCGCAUGCUCUAGACCCGAAGCGGUGUGAUCUAUCCAUGGCCAGGGUGAAGCGACGGUAAGACGUCGUGGAGGCCCGAACCCACCAGGGUUGCAAACCUGGGGGAUGAGCUGUGGAUAGGGGUGAAAGGCCAAUCAAACACCGUGAUAGCUGGUUCUCCCCGAAAUGCAUUUAGGUGCAGCGUCAUGUGUUUCUUGUCGGAGGUAGAGCACUGGAUGGUCUAGGGGGCUUACCAGCUUACCGAAAUCAGCCAAACUCCGAAUGCCGACAAGUGAGAGCAUGGCAGUGAGACGGCGGGGGAUAAGCUUCGUCGUCGAGAGGGAAACAGCCCAGAUCAUCAGCUAAGGCCCCUAAGUGGUGACUAAGUGGAAAAGGACGUGGAGUUGCGGAGACAACCAGGAGGUUGGCUUGGAAGCAGCCAUCCUUGAAAGAGUGCGUAAUAGCUCACUGGUCAAGUGAUUCUGCACCGACAAUUUAGCGGGGCUCAAGUCAUCCGCCGAAGCUGUGGCAUCUACGCGUGUAUCCGGCAUCCUUUGGGGUGUCCAGGUGCGUGGAUGGGUAGGGGAGCGUUGUGUGUGCGUUGAAGCGGCGGGGUGACCCGGUCGUGGAGUGCACGCAAGUGAGAAUGCAGGCAUGAGUAGCGUAUGACGGGUGAGAAACCCGUCCGCCGAAUAUCCAAGGGUUCCAGGGUCAAGCUAAUCUGCCCUGGGUGAGUCGGGUCCUAAGGCGAGGCCGACAGGCGUAGUCGAUGGACAACGGGUUGAUAUUCCCGUACCGGCGCGAGAACGAUCCUGCCGAGGUGAGUGAUGCUAAGCAUGCAAGGCGGUCGUGGGGGCUUCGGUUCCCUGAUCGUUGAGUCUGUAACCCGAUCUUGUAGUAGGCAAGCUGCGGAGGGACGCAGGAAGGUAGUCUGGCACCGUAUUGGUUUGCGGUGUUAAGCCUGUAGGGUGUCUGGCCAGGUAAAUCCGGUCGGACGUGUGCCUGAGAGGUGAUGAGUGGUGCCACUUUUGUGGUACGUAUCCGGAUGAUCCUAUGCUGCCUAGAAAAUCUUCGUGAGCGAGUUCUCGAGCUGCCCGUACCCCAAACCGACACUGGUGGAUAGGUAGAGAAUACCAAGGCGAUCGAGAUAAUCAUGGUGAAGGAACUCGGCAAAAUCCUCCCGUAACUUCGGAAUAAGGGAGACUGGAGGCGUGACGGCAGUUUACUUGUCGGUGCGUCGAUAGUCGCAGAGAAUAGGCCCAAGCGACUGCUUACUAAAAGCACAGGUCCGUGCUAAGUCGAAAGACGAUGUAUACGGACUGACUCCUGCCCGGUGCUGGAAGGUUAAGGGGACGUGUUAGCACUUUUGUGCGAAGCACUGAACUUAAGCCCCAGUAAACGGCGGUGGUAACUAUAACCAUCCUAAGGUAGCGAAAUUCCUUGUCGGGUAAGUUCCGACCUGCACGAAUGGCGUA
rnacentral:rRNA from 1 species